rnacentral:rRNA from 1 species
CGUUGUUCGGAAUUACUGGGCGUAAAGCGCACGUAGGCGGCUUUGUAAGUUAGAGGUGAAAGCCCAGGGCUUAACUCUGGAAUUGCCUUUAAGACUGCAUCGCUAGAAUCGUGGAGAGGUGAGUGGAAUUCCGAGUGUAGAGGUGAAAUUCGUAGAUAUUCGCAAGAACACCAGUGGCGAAGGCGGCUCACUGGCCCGGUACUGACGCUGAGGUGCGAAAGCGUGGGGAGCAAACAGG